CCUACGGGUGGCAGCAGUAGGGAAUCUUUCACAAUGCGCGAAAGCCUGAUGGAGCAACGCCGCGUGCAGGAUGAAGGCCUUCGGGUUGUAAACUGCUUUUAUAAGCGAGAAAUAUGAUGGUAACUUAUGAAUAAGGAUCGGCUAACUACGUGCCAGCAGCCGCGGUCAUACGUAGGAUCCGAGCAUUAUCCGGAGUGACUGGGUGUAAAGAGUUGCGUAGGUGGCAGAAUAAGUAGCUAGUGAAAUCUGGUGGCUCAACCAUUCAGAAUAUUAGCGAAACUGUUAAGCUCGAGACCGUGAGGGGUAACUAGAAUUUCUAGUGUAGGAGUGAAAUCCGUAGAUAUUAGAAGGAACACCAAUAGCGUAGGCAGGUUGCUGGGACGGUUCUGACACUAAGGCACGAAAGCGUAGGGAGCAAACGGGAUUAGAUACCCUUGUAGUC
rnacentral:rRNA from 1 species